UGCAGUCUCUCCGCUAUGCACUGCAGCCAGCAGUGAAGGACAUCUCUGUUGUCUGGGACCUUCCAGAUGGUGUGUCAGUCACCACUUUGUCUCCUCCACUCAAAGUGCUCUUCCAUGGCCAAAGGGCUCUGCUGUAUGCUCAGCUCAAAGGAGAGAGCUCAGGGAAUCCUGAGGGAUCUGUGACAAUACAGUACAACCUGUUGGAGGAGACGGUCAAAAACCAACUCGGCUUCUGUCUCAAACCCACAGGAGACACAGGAGUGACCCUCCACCGGCUGGGGGCUCGGGUCCUGAUUGGG